AACGAACGCUGGCGGCGUGCUUAACACAUGCAAGUCGAACGAGAAAGUCCUUCGGGCGAGUAAAGUGGCGCAAGGGUGAGUAACACGUGAACAAUCUACCUUUGAUACUGGGAUAACUUGGUGAAAACCACGCUAAUACCGGAUAAGACCACGUCUCAUAAGGGAUGCGGUAAAAGGAAUCUCAACUUCCGAUCAUUGAUGAGUUCGCGGACCAUUAGCUAGUUGGUGAGAUAAAAGACUCACCAAGGCAAUGAUGGUUAGCCGGCCUGAGAGGGUGAACGGCCACACUGGAACUGAGACGACGGUCCAGACUCCUACGGGAGGGCAGCAGUGGGGAAUUUUGCGCAAUGGGCGAAAGCCUGACGCAGCAACGCCGCGUGAGUGAUG
rnacentral:rRNA from 1 species